rnacentral:rRNA from 1 species
AAGUGAAAUCGAGUAGGACGGAGCACGAGAAACUUUGUCUGAACAUGGGGGGACCAUCCUCCAAGGCUAAAUACUACUGACUGACCGAUAGUGAACCAGUACCGUGAGGGAAAGGCGAAAAGAACCCCGGAGAGGGGAGUGAAAUAGAACCUGAAACCGUAUGCGUACAAGCAGUGGGAGCCUACUUGUUAGGUGACUGCGUACCUUUUGUAUAAUGGGUCAGCGACUUAUAUUCAGUGGCAAGCUUAACCGUAUAGGGUAGGCGUAGCGAAAGCGAGUCUUAAUAGGGCGUUUAGUCGCUGGGUAUAGACCCGAAACCGGGCGAUCUAUCCAUGAGCAGGUUGAAGGUUAGGUAACACUGACUGGAGGACCGAACCCACUCCCGUUGAAAAGGUAGGGGAUGACUUGUGGAUCGGAGUGAAAGGCUAAUCAAGCUCGGAGAUAGCUGGUUCUCCUCGAAAGCUAUUUAGGUAGCGCCUCAUGUAUCACUCUGGGGGGUAGAGCACUGUUUCGGCUAGGGGGUCAUCCCGACUUACCAAACCGAUGCAAACUCCGAAUACCCAGAAGUGCCGAGCAUGGGAGACACACGGCGGGUGCUAACGUCCGUCGUGAAAAGGGAAACAACCCAGACCGCCAGCUAAGGUCCCAAAGUUGUGGUUAAGUGGUAAACGAUGUGGGAAGGCUUAGACAGCUAGGAGGUUGGCUUAGAAGCAGCCACCCUUUAAAGAAAGCGUAAUAGCUCACUAGUCGAGUCGGCCUGCGCGGAAGAUGUAACGGGGCUCA